rnacentral:rRNA from 1 species
GACGAACGCUGGCGGCGUGCUUAACACAUGCAAGUCGAACGAAGUGGCGAACGGGUGAGUAAUACUAUAGUAACCUGCCCUCCUUUUUGGGAUAAGCCUUGGAAACGGGGUCUAAAACCGAAUAAAGUGGGAUGGGCUCGCGGCCUAUCAGCUUGUUGGUGGGGUGAUGGCCGACCAAGCCGGUGACGGGUAGCCGGCCUAGGAGGGUGACAGUGCAAAUGGGAACUGAGCUACGUCCCAGAGUCAUACGGGAGGGGGCAGUGGGGGAUAUUGGACAAUGGGCGGAAGCAUGAUGGAGCGACGCAGCGUGGGGGAUGAAGGGUUUCGAGUUGUAAACCUCUGGCGCGAUAGAAAGGGUAGGUGGAGAAGAAGCGCCGGCUAACUACGUGCCAGCAGCCGCGGUAAUAC